UAAGAAUUUGACCAAAUAAUUCAGAAGCCUU
rnacentral:piRNA from 1 species